UGAUCCGUCUGAUUUCUCCUCUUUUUUACUAAGUUUGGAGAGUUUGUUUAACACAUAUCUGACAACAUACAUGGCUUGCUGUGCGGUUAACAGACCAUCCAAGAAGUUGAUGCUUCAGUUUUUUUCGACCCCUCACUAAAAGUCCAUGUUCUCCUGGAUCCAUGUCACAUGCUCGAGCUUCUUCAGAAUUACUUUUCAACAGUCAAAGUUCUGGUGAGAGAAGAUGGCCAGCAGAUAAGACGGCAGUACAUGAAGGAGCUCCACAGGCUUCAGAAGAAGGAGGAGGGUUUGCACCUUGGAAGACUGUAUUCAUGCUUCAGCUGUUCAAAUAAAAAUAGAUCUCCUCCUAACAACUUGCAAUCAAACUAUUUUCUUCCCAUUUUAAAACCAUUUGUCCAGUUUAGAUGGGAGAAGUUGAUAUUAUGUGAUAUUGAUCUGGGAAGACUACAUUUCUAAAUCAUUUUUAACUGUCUUGGUACAAAACAAACAAAUAGGUGUGAUUAGCUCAUGUCUCGAUCGACACACUGUACGGGGG